rnacentral:tRNA from 1 species
GCCCUGGUGGCACAAUGGUUAAGUGCUAGGCUGAUAAACAAAAGGUUGGUGGUUCCAACCCACCCAGAGGCU